rnacentral:rRNA from 1 species
AGAGUUUGAUCCUGGCUCAGAUUGAACGCUGGCGGCGUGCUUUACACAUGCAAGUCGGACGGCAUCAUUACUUUCGGGUAGAUGGCGAGUGGCGAACGGGUGAGUAAUACAUCGGAACAUACCAUGAAGUUGGGGAUAACUCAUCGAAAGAUGAGCUAAUACCGAAUAACCUCUGAGGAGGAAAGCUGGGGACUAGCAAUGGCCUGGCGCUUUAUGAUUGGCCGAUGGUCGAUUAGCUAGUUGGUGAGGUAAAGGCUUACCAAGGCGAUGAUCGAUAGCUGUUCUGAGAGGAAGAUCACCCACACUGGGACUGAGACACGGCCCACACUCCUACGGGAGGCAGCAGUGGGGAAUUUUGGACAAUGGGGGCAACCCUGAUCCACCAACGCCGCGUGAAUGAAGAAGGCCUUAGGGUUGUAAAGUUCUUUUAUUUGGGAGCAAAGAUUACGGGUGAAUAUCCCGUGAUUAUGAGAGUACCAAAGGAAUAAGCACCGGCUAACUACGUGCCAGCAGCCGCGGUAAUACGUAGGGUGCGAGCGUUAAUCAGAAUAACUGGGCGUAGAGGGUGCGUAGGCGGAUAUAUAAGUUAGAUGUGAAAAGCCCGGGCUCAACCUUGGUCGUGCAUUUAAGACUGUAUGUCUAGAGUUUGUAAGAGGGGGGGUAGAAUUCCAAGUGUAGCAGUGAAUGCGUAGAGAUUUGGGAGGAAUACCGAUGGCGAA